UGGCAGAGCACACAGCUCGGUGGUUCG
rnacentral:sRNA from 1 species